rnacentral:rRNA from 1 species
UGUAAGCGUAUACCAAAGUUGUUGCAGUUAAAACGCUCGUAGUCGGAAUUUGGCAGUUCCGGAAGUGUGCACGUCGUGUGCGCACUUUGCGGGGACUGCUUUUGUGGUCUUGCGUAGGAUGAGGCACUUUCAUUAGUGAACGUCCUCACGCAACCACUCUUUACUGUGAGAAAAGCAGAGUGCUCAAAGCAGGCAUUUGCCGUGAAUGUAUUAGCAUGGAAUAAUAGAAUAGGACUCGGUUCUAUUUUGUUGGUUUGUUGGGACUGAGUAAUGAUUAAGAGGGACAGUUGGGGGCAUUUGUAUUCCGGCGCUAGAGGUGAAAUUCUUAGAUUGCCGGAAGACAAACUGCUGCGAAAGCGUCUGCCAAGGAUGUUUUCAUUGA